UACGGAGGGGGCUAGCGUUGUUCGGAAUUACUGGGCGUAAAGCGCACGUAGGCGGUUGCUCAAGUCAGAGGUGAAAGCCCAGAGCUCAACUUUGGAAUUGCCUUUGAAACUAGGUGACUUGAACACGGGGAGAGGUGAGUGGAAUUCCGAGUGUAGAGGUGAAAUUCGUAGAUAUUCGGAAGAACACCAGUGGCGAAGGCGGCUCACUGGACCGUUGUUGACGCUGAGGUGCGAAAGCGUGGGGAGCAAACAGGG
rnacentral:rRNA from 1 species